AUGACGGUAUUGCCCUCAGUUUUCUCUGAAUUACCAUGCUACCAUUUCCCCACAAUAUAUAAGCAAAAUCCCUAAUUCUUUGUGUCUUCGGGAAGACUCUAUCAAGAUCGACAUACUGUUUCGCAGCAUCAAUCUGGAUUUGUUGCAGACGAGGUAGAGAGAGAGAGACAAACUGUGAGAGGAAAGAAGAAGUGAUCGAUCUGGAUUUGUUGCAGAAGAGGUGUAGAGAGAGAGAGAGAGAGAUAGAGAGAGGUAUCUGCGUCUGCAAUAGUUGCAGAAAGUAGAAGGAGGUUUUCUAAGUUUGGGAUUUUAGUGAUUGAUUGGGAGAGGUUGAAGGUAAUAUCGAUCUUACUCGAUCAAGUGUGUCGAUCAAGCUGUUGGAUGCGAAGGUCAGUUGAUAGCAGAUCAAGAUUUGAGGGGAAAAAAAAAAUUAAACCCGCAGCAUGGCGCGGGAGACCUUUCUAGUCUACCACAUACCAAGUGUGAGUCCACUGUUUAGGCUUGAUUGGAAGAUAAAGGGUUUAAAUGUUCAAUUAUUCAAAGAAGGCGAAAGUGACUUAGCUGCAGGAGUCAUAUCUAAUGGAUACCAAGUGUGAGUCCAUCGUUUAGGCUUAAUUGGAAGAUAGAGGGUUCAAUUAUUCAAAUGAGGCGAAAGUGACUUUGCUGCAGGAGUCAUGUCUGCCGCAUGCCAAGUGUGAGUCCACUGUUUAGGCUUAAUUGGAAGAUAAAGAGUUCAAUUAUUUAA